UAUUGUGAUAUGACUUUACACAACUGUCCGGCAGUACAUUGUCUGAUAGUGUACUGACAGUGUACUGCUCGGCAGGUAUGUAAAGUCAAAUCACAGUAU
rnacentral:pre_miRNA from 1 species